UGGGAAUAUUGCACAAUGGGGGGAAACCCUGAUGCAGCGACGCCGCGUGAGUGAAGAAGUAUUUCGGUAUGUAAAGCUCUAUCAGCAGGGAAGAUAAUGACGGUACCUGACUAAGAAGCCCCGGCUAACUACGUGCCAGCAGCCGCGGUAAUACGUAGGGGGCAAGCGUUAUCCGGAUUUACUGGGUGUAAAGGGAGCGUAGGUGGCAGGGCAAGUCAGAUGUGAAAUGCCGGGGCUCAACCCCGGAACUGCAUUUGAAACUGUCCGGCUAGAGUGCAGGAAAGGUAAGUGGAAUUCCUAGUGUAGCGGUGAAAUGCAUAGAUAUUAGGAGGAACA
rnacentral:rRNA from 1 species